CAACCCACACCCACUGAUGAAGGUUCUGAGUCUGAAUCUGAAACUGAAUCGGGUGAUUCAGAGGAUUUCGAGAGUGCGAAAGCCUCUAUGCGACCCUCUGAAAGCUCUGAUCAAGAAUUGGAGGAACCAUUGUUCACAAUAGGUCGUUUUUCUCCUAAGAAGGAAGAGGAGAGUGUUGAAGACUUAAGGCUAAUUCGUAGGUCACAGAGAGCUACAAAAGGCAAACCUCCAAAGAGAUUUGCUGAUGAGUUUGCUACGAUAGCAGUAACAGCUGUUAAAAGCUCCAAGAAGGUAUUUGAACCUUCAAGUUUCCAAGAAAUCCAGGGUUUGGAUUCAAAGGAAGCUGAGCCAUGGUUAAAUGCCAUGAAGGCUGAGCUUGAUUCCUUAGAAAGGAACAAAACAUGGGAGCUAGUUCCAGUAGUUCCAGGAAUGAAACUGCUUGGAAGCAAAUGGGUCUUCAAAGCGAAGACAGAUCAAAAUGGCAAGAUAGUCAGACACAAAGCCAGAUUGGUAGCCAGAGGUUUUGCACAGGUACCAGGUGAAGACUAUCACGAGACCUAUUCACCCACAGUGAGAUAUGAAAGCAUUAGGCUUAUGCUCAAGCUAGCUGCAGAGGAAAAUCUACACAUUAGUCACCAUGAUAUUAAUACAGCUUUUCUGUACGGAUCUCUAGAUGAAUCACUUUAUAUGCUUCCACCUGAUGGCGUACAGGUAAAACAGGGAUUUGUUUGUGCUCUGAAGAAAUCCCUUUAUGGUCUCAAACAAAGUGCACGGUGUUGGCACACAAAACUCACUGAAGUAUUGUUUUCUCUAGGUUUUCAGCAAGGGAAAGCUGAUCCAUGUGUAUUUGUCAAAGAGGAGGGGCAAAAGAAACUGUACUGUUUGUUUUAUGUUGAUGAUUUAUUAUUCUUUUGGAAAGAUGUUGCAAUGUACAAUAGCGCCCUAGCUCAACUGAAAGAGCACUUUGACAUGAAAGAUCUUGGUGAGGUAAACAACUACCUAUCUCUGGAAAUAGAGAGAGAUCAAGAUGGUAACAUUCUAGUACACCAGUCACGGAAAAUUGCUGAUGUGUUAAGCAAACUAAAUCUGAUGGAUGCUAACCCUGUAGACACACCGAUGACAACAGGUUAUCAGGUAGAUGACACUGAAGAAGCAUUUUCUGACACUACACUGUACAGGAGUGUGCUAGGCAAGCUAAACUUCAUUGCCAGAUGUUCAAGACCAGACAUUGCUGUUAGCUGUAAUUUGCUAAGCAGACAAGUCAACAAUCCUAGUGUCAAGGAUUGAAAGUUCUGAAACGCAUAGCGCGGUAUUUGAAAGGCACUAUGCAUUACAGACUGAGAUUUAACAAUCAGAAGUCUGGUGGUCUUGAGAUAUUUGCAGAUGCAAGUUUUGGAAGUGACGCUACAGACAGGAAAAGUACGUCUGGAGUUUGCUAUAUGUACAAUCAGAGUCUGUUUGAUUGGUCAUGCAAGAAGCAAACAACAGUUAGCUUAAGUACUUGUGAAGCCGAACUGAAUGCACUGUCUUAUUCACUUAAGGAUUGUGAAUGGUUAGUACAAUUGUGCAAAGAUAUGAAAAUUCCUGUCAAAUGUCCAAUCCAGGUUUACCAGGACAACAAAGCAUGUUUGGCUUUGCUGAAGUCUGAAGGUUGUAAGCAAAGCACAAAGCACUUGCAAUUAAAGUUGCAGCAUGCUAGGGAAUGUAUUCAGAAGGGACUCGUAACGGUGUCCUAUAUGCCAGGUAAUGAAAUUCCUGCUGAUGUAUUGUCCAAGAUUGUAUCAAGGGAUCAACACUGUACCUAUGUGCAGAAGUUGGGUUUGUACUGAUAUUGUGCAAACACGCUGCCCAGUGAUGUUCACAGAAAGGGGGAGGAUGUUGGUUUCUGCUUUCCUUCACUGUGCAGCUCUGCUUGUCACGAGACAGGUGUUUACAUUCCACAGUCUGUACUGUUGGAGUUUCUCACGGGAAAGGGAGACUGGAUGUGACGUACACUGGUUUCCUGUUUUUCACUGUGUGAUUCUCUCCGAGCUGUCGAGGAGAGAGGAUGCAUUUUCUGCUCCGGCAGAGGCAAGAUGUCUUUCUGUAAUAUACCAGCUUUGAACUGUAAAUAAAGCAAUAUAGAGUAUGCAGCACGUAUUCCUCAUCCUUCCGCUGGGCCCAAGACUCUGCUUAAAUCAACA